rnacentral:rRNA from 1 species
UACAGAGAUCCCAAGCGUUGUUCGGAUUCACUGGGCGUAAAGGGUGCGUAGGUGGCCAGGUAAGUUCGGUGUGAAAGCUCGGAGCUUAACUCCGAAAUGGCAUUGAAUACUAUCUGGCUAGAGGGUCGGAGGGGAGACUGGAAUUCUCGGUGUAGCAGUGAAAUGCGUAGAUAUCGAGGGGAACACCAGUGGCGAAGGCGAGUCUCUGGACGACACCUGACACUGAGGCACGAAAGCCAGGGGAGCAAACAGG